ACCCGCUGAACUUAAGCAUAUCAAUAAGCGGAGGAAAAGAAACCAACAGGGAUUGCCCUAGUAACGGCGAGUGAAGCGGCAACAGCUCAAAUUUGAAAUCUGGCUCUUUUAUGGUCCGAGUUGUAAUUUGCAGAGGGCGCUUUGGCGUUGGCAGCGGUCCAAGUUCUUUGGAACAGGACGUCACAGAGGGUGAGAAUCCCGUACGUGGUCGCUAUCCUUCGCCGUGUAAAGCCCCUUCGACGAGUCGAGUUGUUUGGGAAUGCAGCUCUAAAUGGGAGGUAAAUUUCUUCUAAAGCUAAAUACUGGCCAGAGACCGAUAGCGCACAAGUAGAGUGAUCGAAAGAUGAAAAGCACUUUGGAAAGAGAGUCAAAUAGCACGUGAAAUUGUUGAAAGGGAAGCGCUUGCAGCCAGACUUGCCUGUAGUUGCUUAUCUGGACUUUUGUCCGGUGCACUCUUCUGCGGGCAGGCCAGCAUCAGUUUGGGCGGUUGGAUAAAGGUCUCUGUCAUGUACCUCCUUUCGGGGAGGCCUUAUAGGGGAGACGACAUGCAACCAGCCUGGACUGAGGUCCGCGCAUCUGCUAGGAUGCUGGCGUAAUGGCUGU
rnacentral:rRNA from 1 species